CUAAAAUAUAAUAUUCCCUCCGAUAUACUCUAGGUGAAAUAUUAUUUUUUUCAAUUUCAAAAGGGCAAAAGACUCUCCUCGCUAUACUUUAGCAACACUCUCCUCGCUAAAAUCUCUUUGGAUUAGGGUUUCUGACUUCAAUUGUUGAUACUGACGAAUCUUCCGGAUUAGGUACUGUUUUGCACCUUGUUGCCCUCCUCUUUCCAGAUUGAAGAAACUUAUAAAGCUAGAGAAAUGGGAAUUCUUGCAAUCUCAGAAGAUAAGUCACGCUCAGGAAGAUUUGCGGUGGACUUAAAGUUGUAUUUGGCUUAGCUUAAGUGUCAUGACUAGGAAUUCAAAUGUUCCAUCCAAGGAAUGGAUGGAUUUACCAAGGUAUAGCAAAGAGUAUAUCGAGGGUGUUCAAUCUUUAUUAGAUUUUGCUUACUCUUAUGGAGAUCCUCAAGGCGAAGAAAUUAAAUGCCCAUGUGCAAAGUGUAGUAAUAUUCGUUGGACUCGAAGGAAUGUAGUGUAUGAACAUCUAAUAUGUUAUGGGUUUCGUCAAGGUUAUACAAGAUGGAUUAAUCAUGGGAAAUGGAAAAUUUCGAUUAAUGUUAAUUGUGACAUGGAUGAUAAUGUUUACUCUUACGAUGAUAUUGAUGGGUUGUUGAAUAAUCAAUUUAGAAAUGUUGCACAUGCUGGAGGAGUGUAUAAAGGCCCAAAUGAAGAUGCCAAUAAAUUUUAUAACUUAGUUGAUGAGGCAAACCAAUAACUAUAUCCGGGUUGUAAAUGAUUCUCUAGAUUAUCUUUUACAAUCCGUCUUUAUUUGUUGAAGUAUGUACAUGGAUGGAGCAUUGCGUCUUUCACUUCUCUUUAAGUGCUAUUAAAAGAGGCGAUGCCUGACCUGAAUAUUCCUAUAUCUUACAAUAAAGCCAAAUCUUUGGUAAAGGAUCUCGUUCUUGAUUAUGAAAAAAUUGAUGCAUGCCCCAGUGAUUGCACGCUUUUUAGGAAUGACCAUAAGGAUGAUGAAUAUUGUCAUGUUUGUGGAUCAUCUCGAUAUAUUAAAUAUCCUGAAGUAGAUAGCGAGCUUGAGGCUUCCAAAAAAUGUUAUCGUGUUCCAGCAAAAAUUUUGAGACACUUUCUAUUAAUUCCUAGACUUAAAAGGCUAUUUAUGUGCUCAAAGAUAGCAGAUACAUUGAGGUGGCAUGACGAGGAGAGUUCUAAAGAUGGAAAGUUAAGGCAUCCUGCUGAUGGGCAAGCAUGGAAAGAUUUAAUAGCUUGCAUUCAGAAUUUGCAAGGGAUUCUCGCAAUUUGAGUCUUGGCUUAGAAAGUGAUGGGUUCAAUCCAUUUCGGACCAUGAGCAUAUCUCAUAGCACAUGGCCAGUUAUUUUAAUGGUACAUAAUUUGCCUCCUUGGAUGUGCAUGAAGCUAGAGUAUUGUACGCUUUCUUUGCUUAUACCUGGGCCACGAUCACCUGCAAAUGACAUUGACGUUUAUUUAUGACUAUUAAUAGAAGAGUUAAAUGUUUUGUGGGAGUCCGGGGUAGAAACAUAUGAUGCUUCAAGAGAUCAAACCUUUCAAAUGCGAGCAGCUCUUUUAUGGAGAAUCAAUGACUUUAAUGCAUAUGCUAUGUUAUCCGGUUGAAGUACAAAGGGAAAGUUGGCUUACCCUUGUUGUAAUUAUGGCACUAAUUCUCGUUAUCUUAAACAUAGUCAAAAAAUAUGUUAUAUGGAUCAUCAUAUUUUUCUGCCUAUGGAUCAUCCUUGGAGAUUUAAUAAAAGGUCUUUCAAUGGAAAAACUGAAUUUAGGCCUCCUCCGUCUUUGUUAAAGGGAACUGAUGUGCUUAAUAGCUUACGGAAUUUUAACAAUAUAUUUGGGAAGAAGCGAAAGAGAACAAAUGAUGGCCCUUGGAAAAAAAAAAAGUCAAUUUUUUUUUGAAUUACCUUAUUGGCAGCACAACUCGUUACGUCAUAACCUUGACGUAAUGUAUAUAGAGAAAAAUAUAGUGGAUAAUAUAAUUGGAACUAUUUUGGAAAUUCCUGGUAAGACAAAGGAUCAUGCAAAUGAUCGUUAUGAUCUGAAAGAGAUGGGCAUUAGGAAGAACCUUAAACCAAAGGAUAAAAAGGAUGAAAAAAGAAUAAAGUUUGCAAAAGCAUGAUUCUCAAUGACCAAUGGUGAGAAAUUAGUUUUGUGUGGUGUUUUAAAGACAACAAAGCUACCUGAUGGUAGUGCUUCCAACAUAUCCAGGUGUAUGCAGCUAGAUGAAAGAAAAUUAUCUAGUUAUAAAACCCAUGAUGCCCACUUCAUGUUACAUUACUUGUUGCCAAUACCAGUUAAAAGCAAACUUCCUGAUCAUGUUGCUAUCCCUUUGAUUCGUCUAAGUUCAUUUUUUCUCCGUUUAUGUCAAAUAUUUAUCAUAAUGGAAUAGCUAGAUUGCUUGAAAUUAGAGAUUAGAGAAACAAUGAAUCAAUUGAAAAGAAUUUUUCCUCCAACUUUUUUUGAUAUAAUGAUUCAUUUGCCUACUCAUUUGGCAAAUGAGGUAAGGUUGGGAGGUCCAGUUCAAAAUCGAUGGAUGUAUCCUCUUGAAAGGUAUAUGUGUACAUUAAAAUCAUAUGUUCGCAACAGAAAUUAUCCAGAAGGAUCUAUUGUUGAGGCAUAUUUGGUUGAAGAGUGUUUGACUUUAUGCUCUAGGUACUUACAUGGAGGUGUAAAGACUCGAUUUAAUCGACGACCCCGAACAAUGAUGAAUAUGAUUCAAUUAAUGCACAAUCUUCUAGUUUGUUCCCUAUUACAGGUUGUCCUUUAGGAGCAAAAAAGAGUGAUCCAAUUGUUUUAGAUGACAUGUCACUAAAUCAGGCACAUGUAUACUUAUUGAACAAUUGGGAUGAAGUUCAAGAAUAUAUAAGAGAAUAUGAGGUUGAAGUUAGUAAUCAGAGACGAGGAUCUAAAUGGAGCAAGGCCAAGAAGUGGUGCACAUGCAACUAAAGAAGAUAUUGGACUAACAAAUUUUAAGGAACCAAGAGAUAUUGAACAGGUAUCUUUGCAACUUUGUUUAUUUAUAUAUGCUAUGGAAUUGUUUAUCUUUAUAUAUCCUCUGGAACCAAGAGAAUUGUUGGGUAUGGGCUCUUAGUUGUCUUGUUAGAGUUCAUUUCUUUGAGGGAAUUCUGAUGAUUGUUUAAACUUGCACCUCCCUUAAGAUUAAGGAUGUGGGUUCCUAUGGAAGUGCAGGAUAAUAUAAUGAGAGAACACUGUUGGGUGGAUUGGAAAUAACAGAUGAAAUAAGAGUUGAAUAUCUCGGUUGAUAUGCAUUGAUCUGUUUUCAAUGGUCCACUUAUUUCCUGAUACCUCUCAGCAGUUAUAUCUCUGGACUUUCAAUCCCCAUGCCUCGGGUGCAUAUUCUGUCCAGUUCCCAUAUUUAUUGUUGAAGUAAUCAUUGUAACUUAUUGUGAACACCAACUUGUAAUUCUUAAAGUAGGAAAAAAAACAAACAUAACUGUUCUGCAGCAUCAUAAACCAUGCUUCAGUUUAGUAUAGGUUUCUUGUUUAUCCCAGAUUAUGCAUGACGAUGACAAAAUGCACAAUUCCAUCCUCCAUAUUCUGUAAUUGUUGGAAACAGUGUUGUUAAAAGCAACUGGUUCCUCGCUUAAAGCGAGAAGCGUUGCGAAGUGAGGCAUCUGGCGCUUCUCUGAUCUGAAGCGUAUCAUGUACACAAAAGCGAUCGCUUUCCCUGAAAAAGCGAGAAGUGAGGAAGCGAACAAAGCGACAGAAGUGAGCACUUCUCGUUAUAGCUGGGUUGCCAACGCUAAUUAAUUAAAAAAGCUCUUUUUUAACUUCAAGAUCAUCAAGUUUGGUCCCAGGUAUGUGAUUUCUUCCUCCUCCCCUCCUCCUUUUCUUUUUCUUUUUCUUUUUCUUUUUCUUUUUCUUUUUCUUUCACUGUUUCAGUGUCCAAAUUGCAACGAAAUGCAGGUGAAUUUUUUUUCCCCUUCAGUUCUUUUUUUUCUCAUUCUCCUCUUCUUCUUCUUCAUUUUUUUACACUGUUUCAGUGAUAAAUUGCAUCGAAAUGCUGCCCAUUUUUCGUUUCAAUUAUAUUGCCAUUUUUGGCAUACUUACUACCAUUUUUUCAUAUCAUUUAUUCUUAGUCGGGGGAUGUAUUAGGGCAUACUGGCCAGGAAACUUUGUAUAAAUUAGUUUGCCUCUUGAGAAGCAGUUCGGGUUGCCCUUAACCAUUCAAACUUUUAAAUUUAGGAAGCAUGUGUGGUGUACCUCUAAUGGCAAUGAUGACAUGAGAAGUUUCUUUAGGUGUAACAGGUGAAAGAAAUUAUGAGAAAUUUAUAUGCACCGGAAAACAAACACAUAAAAAGUAUCUUCUGGUGGUAAAAAUUGGGAAUUGUAUGGUUAUACAAAGACAUAGGUAGGAGGCAGGAACUGGUGCUGCUGCAGAUAUUGGUUCUUAGGGUCUUUUCUAAUACUGAGAUCAAUUAUAGAUUCUGAUCCUAUGUUCAAAAAUUUGUUGAUCCUCCACAAAGAGUCGAUAAAACAAAUGUAGACUAGGGGUUGUUAUGUGUCUUAUUUCUUAAAUAUUUACUUUCUCACAUACUGUUAUAUAUUCUUACUAAUUGUUAGGCUAAAGUAAUUUAAUUUUUUUUGUAUGUAGGAUGAAUCAAGCUGCAGCUCUUAGGAAAAAAGUUGUGAAUCCAAACAAAUCUCAAAGUCCAAUGAAGAAUAUAGGUUUCGAUUUCCAAUACCGAUGAAGUGCUGAACUAGCCAAAAAAUUUCAGAUUAAGAGAGAAAAGCUUGCAAGUGAUCGUAACGAUAAAGCUACUAAAGAGCAUGAAUUAUUGGAGUUAAAAGGAAGAAUUUUAUGUCUGCAACAUUAGAAGGGAAAAGUAGACAGAAGUUAACUCAAUCCGAUGUAUCAGUUCAAAAGUUGGGAAGGAAUAGAUUACCGGUGUACGAAUCAAUCCAAUCGUCUUCAAGAGAAUAUCUGAACACUUCACAUAGUAUUGCAAGUAAAGGAUAAAUUAAACAAAGGUCAAUUCAAUUGGAGGAGCCCAUUCAAAAGCAAGGAACGAGUAAAUUUUCUGUGCCCACAUCCAUAAUCCAAUAAUUUGCAAAGGUAGAUCCUAACACUUUAUAUAUGCUUAAAAGAACACAAGGUGAAGGAUAUAAACAACAUGAUAUUCAGAAGCUAUAAAAAUUGCAAAGUGGUAAAGACAAACUCAGUCCUACGUCGACGACUGUUAAUCAAUUUCUAAAAUAAUAUGGGAUACAAGUCGGUGGUGAAAAACAUCCUGAUAAUCACCCAAAAAAUGAAGUCAGAUUUAUGUCCUCUCCUAUUAUUGAUGAGCAUGAAAUAGAAUUGGAUAAUUUUGUUGCACAAGAUGAAGUUGGUGACGAUGAAUUUAUUGGAGAUGAGGAGAUGAACAUCAAUGGUGUUGCAGGUGGGACAUCAGAGAAGAAAAGAGUUCGAGGGCAAAUAAAAUGUAAGAAUAUUCAUGCAAGAAGUUUUGAAGAAAGAGAGGAGGUGACAUUUGAUAAAGGACAAGCAGUUCGACCAACUGACAAGAGAGUGUCUGAUUUGGCCAACUUUUUAGGAAAAAUUGCAAGGAAUCCAAGAUUUAUCCCCUUGGUGCAUACUAGUUGGCAUGCUGUGUCAAAGGAUAUUAAGCAACGAAUGUGGGAAUAUGUCAAUGUAUAAUUAAUUUUUCAAUUAUAUAUUUUUUGUAUUUUUUCUA